CGUAAAGUCCAAACAAUUGUUUAACGUUAUGGCAUGACCGAAAUAGUUUGGCCGCACUUAACAUAAUUUACGACCUCAUUUUUCGGUGUAAUCGUAUGUUAUAAUAUUACAACAGCGUUUUAUUUACAUUGAAACGCCGCGCAAAGUAAAACACGGUGUUGUUCCGAAACGUUUAUUUCAAAAGUGAGUUAAUUAGGUUCGGUAAUUUUUUGUCCGCUGCUGUUGUUUUUAGUCUUUUUUUUUUU